GGGGAUGAAAGGAUUUCGACGGGGAUGCUGCACCGUGGUAAGCGAGCAGCGGUGGGGUACCGCUUAAAACAGCCUCAGUUUAUGAAAAUAAACGACAAAGAUCAAAAAGUACUUCUUGCUGCUUAAUUAGCGGCAAGCGUUCCUCCCGGAGCACCGCGGCCGGGGCAGGGGCGUCAUCAGCGGUAAAUGUGCACGGGCAAGCGCCUCGUGACCCGUCACACACAACGAGGCUACCGAAGCAAGUUGCCAGCCGUACGGUGACUUUCUAAGGGAAUCUUUAACGCACGGCUACGCUCGUAGAAAGCUGCGGGAACGCGUUUUCGGACGCGGGUUCGACUCCCGCCAUCUCCACCA
rnacentral:tmRNA from 1 species